CCUCAGUUGAGCAUUCAGUUAGAGGCGGCGAUCGCAGGUUCGCCGGAGGAGAGGGUGUUGCGAGCAAGAUUGCACAAACAAAGCCCUCCUGCCCGCAGCCCUAUUCUAGAAAUUAGGCUGGGGUAUUUUGAAGUGAGAAGUGGGUGAACUGGGAGCAUGUAGGAAAGCAAGAUGAACUCAAAGCAGUGAUUCCUCUUUUUGACAGUUGUGACCUUCUCUGAAUUCAAGCAAGAUUUUUAUGCUUCAGCAAUCAAGGAGUUCUAUGCCACAGUGCACAUCCCUAAGAAUUGCUCCAACAUGCAAUGG
rnacentral:lncRNA from 1 species